rnacentral:pre_miRNA from 1 species
AAAUCUCUGCAGGCAAAUGUGAUGUCACUGAAGAAAUCACACACUUACCCGUAGAGAUUCUA